ensembl:miRNA gga-mir-3523 gga-mir-3523
GCCGAGCCGAACGGAGCCGAGCGGCGGGGCCAUGGUGAACCUGCGGGUGUGUGCGCUGGAGUGCGAGGCGCUGCGGGGGCUGCUGCAGGAGCGCGCCGCGCAGUGCCUCGUCCUCGACUGCCGCUCCUUCUUCUCCUUCAACGCCGCGCACAUCCGCGGCUCCUGC